GCCCGGAUGGCGGAACUGGCAGACGCGUGAGACUCAAAAUCUCAUAUCCUUUGGGAUGUGUGGGUUCGACUCCCUCUCCGGGCA
rnacentral:tRNA from 1 species